rnacentral:rRNA from 1 species
GAGGAAUAUUGGUCAAUGGGGGCAACCCUGAACCAGUCAAGUCGCGUGAAGGAUGAAGGUCUUAUGGAUUGUAAACUUCUUUUACACGGGAAUAAAGUGGGGGACGUGUCCCCCUUUGCAUGUACCGUGUGAAUAAGGAUCGGCUAACUCCGUGCCAGCAGCCGCGGUAAUACGGAGGAUCCGAGCGUUAUCCGGAUUUAUUGGGUUUAAAGGGUGCGCAGGCGGGAUGUUAAGUCGGCGGUGAAAUUUUGCAGCUCAACUGUAAAAGUGCCUUCGAUACUGGCCUCCUUGAGUGUGGAUGAAGUAGGCGGAAUUUGUGGUGUAGCGGUGAAAUGCUUAGAUAUCACGAGGAACUCCGAUUGCGCAGGCAGCUUACUAAGCCACAACUGACGCUCAUGCACGAAGGCGUGGGGAUCAAACA